rnacentral:lncRNA from 1 species
GAGAGCAACUGCUCUGCAGCAGCCUCGCUCCCGCGAUAACUUAAGGUCAUGUGACAUCAGAUGCAGAGCAGAAACCACUCCCAUCCAGGUCAUCGUGGACACAUUUUAACCAGCAUGCAUCACGAUUUAUGCAGCGCUGCGCAGCGCUGCGCAGCACUGCGUGAUCUUGAACUCGCCUAAUAUGUAAUGAGGCGCGCGUUGAUUGGCCGCAGGAAGGACAGAGCCGGAAUCGGGGGCUAGCCUGCAUGCACACAGACUCCAAAACAUAAACAGCCCCCUGUCAUGGCGCACACACUAAAUGACGAACCUUACAAUUCAGGCAUUUAUGUACGAGCCGGAUUCGGAACCCGAACGGGAGAGUGAAGAGGCAGAGACGGUGGAAGAGACACGUUUACAGCAGGAUGUCUCUGAAUGGAUGAAGGGUGUUAUGAUCUUUCUGGUGUUGAUGCUGGUCGUCAUCAUGGUUGAUGCUGAGGAGAGUCGUCCUCAAAAUGAUGGUGUCCGCCUGCCGCCCCGGCGCAUAGCCAUACCUGGACUGUAUAUCAGAUUUGGAGCAUCUCAAGAUGAAGUGGCCAACGAUAAACUGAGGCGAUACUAUGAAAACUGAGUCUGUUCUUGAUUUUGAAGAUAUAGUUUGAGCUAUAUCUUUGUGCUUUGCAAAGCAAGAAAUAAUUGGAUGUGUAAACAUGAAGCUCUUGAGAUGUAGUGAUUUUAGUCACAGCUACAACUGAUAGUGAAAACUAUCCUGUUGAAUAAAGCUGCAUUCCAAAAGACCGUCUGUGUGUUGUGGUGUUAUUUAAGUGAACAUAUGUUUGUAAUUUUACUGGUGAUGAUGAUCAAGAACAUUGUUUUUCAUCAAUUCGGAGGUCAAUGUUUAUAUUAAGUAGAUCUAAAUAAUAAGUGUGUUGGUGUGAUCAGUUUAUUGAAUAAACUCUCUUCCUAUUAACUAAUAAAUCUAAAUGUUGAUGAUGUCAUUUGACAGAAAACUAUUUCAAAAAUGAAGCGAAAUAGGUGAGCAGGUGGUCGAGUGGUUAGAGCGCAUGCUACAUACGCAGCUGACCUCGGUUCGAUUCCGGCCAGAGGUCCUUUGCUGCAUGUCAUAUC